CGGCGACCACUGUCACGCCCCUCAAAAUAUCCAUAAUUUUUAAAAUAAUUUCAACACAGACCAAUCCAUCCAGGAUCCAAACUAACGUUUGAGGACACUGAAAAACAUUCAAUCAAAUUCACAUCCAUAAAACCUAUGCAUUUUAAAAUCAUAUAUCACAUCACUCGAUAAUUCACAUUUAUGGCAACCCAAGCCAACUUGACAAACAUGAACAACAUUUAUAAAUCCACAAGCUAAAUAAAUUAUACAAUCAGAACUUCAACUAUUCACCA
rnacentral:lncRNA from 1 species